rnacentral:rRNA from 1 species
AUACAGAGGGUGCAAGCGUUAAUCCGAAUUACUGGGCGUAAAGCGCACGUAGGUGGUUCAUUAAGUCAGAUGUGAAAGCCCCGGGCUCAACCUGGGAACUGCAUUUGAAACUGGUGAGCUAGAGUAUGGUAGAGGUAAGUGGAAUUCCAGGUGUAGCGGUGAAAUGCGUAGAUAUCUGGAGGAACAUCAGUGGCGAAGGCGACUUACUGGACCAAUACUGACACUGAGGUGCGAAAGCGUGGGGAGCAAACAGGAUUAGAAACCCGAGUAGUCC